rnacentral:rRNA from 1 species
UUAUGGCUCAGGACGAACGCUGGCGGCGUGCCUAAUACAUGCAAGUCGAACGGUCUUUCUAUGGAAGCUUGCUUCCACUGAGAAGAUAGUGGCGAACGGGUGAGUAACACGUGGGUAACCUGCCCAUAAGAGGGGGGAUAACAUCCGGAAACGGGUGCUAAUACCGCAUAGUUUUCUUGAUCGCAUGAUCGGGAAAGGAAAGACGGCCUUUGUGCUGUCGCUUAUGGAUGGACCCGCGGCGUAUUAGUUAGUUGGUGAGGUAACGGCUCACCAAGACGAUGAUACGUAGCCGACCUGAGAGGGUGAUCGGCCACAUUGGGACUGAGACACGGCCCAAACUCCUACGGGAGGCAGCAGUAGGGAAUCUUCCGCAAUGGACGAAAGUCUGACGGAGCAACGCCGCGUGAGUGAAGAAAGGUUUUCGGAUCGUAAAACUCUGUUGUCAGGGAAGAACAAGUUGGAGGGUAACUGCUCCAGCCUUGACGGUAUCUGACCAGAAAGCCACGGCUAACUACGUGCCAGCAGCAGC